GGCUUGAAGAGAUUUCCGGGAGCGGUGACUCUCAUCUGCUCGAAGAUGAGCCCACUGUGGACCUUCCUCUUCGUGCUGUCAGCUCCCAGCGGGGUCCUGUCCCAGGUGCAGCUGCAGGAGUCGGGACCCAGCCUGGUGAAGCCCUCACAGACCCUCUCCCUCACCUGUGCUGUCUCUGGAUUCUCAUUAACCAGCUAUGCUGUAGGCUGGGUCCGCCAGGCUCCAGGGAAGGCGCUGGAGUGGGUUGGUAUCAUAUAUAGUGGUGGAAGCACAUACUAUAACCCAGCCCUGAAAUCCCGGCUCAGCAUCACCAGGGACACCUCCAAGAGCCAAGUCUCUCUCUCACUGAGCAGCGUGACACCAGAGGACACGGCCGUGUAUUACUGUGCAAAGGACACAGGUGAGUGUGACCACAGCCUCUCUGGACUCACAGGACUAGAGCUCCUCAAUGCAAAUUCCUCUUCAAGCUCCAGGGGCUGA